CUUCAUAAACCCAGUUUGCAAUGCAACACUGCAAACAGAUGCGUUUUCGUGGCAAAGCAAUACUUCACUGCAACACUGUUUUGUAAAAUAAUACAAUGACAUUUUAAACGUUUAUGAACACAAAAUUGGUUCGCCGAACAUUGUGUUCAUAAUUAAAUUGUUGUGAAAUGAAUCUUCAGCAAUCCUGCGCUUUUGUUUUGCAAAGCGCUGUAGAAUUGGCGGAAACAAAAAAUACAAGCAACACCACGUAAAUUAAAAAUAUAUUAAAUAAAAGAAAGCGCCCUGCUACUACAUUAUUAAUGAAACGCGAUUCAAAAAGAAGAAUUCCUAAAACCUCAAAUUUUUGCAAAACCAUUGAAAUUAUGCAAGAUGACGUGUUUUACUCGCACUUUCGUAUGCCGAAGACCACAUUUAAAAUAUUACAGAGCAUGAUAAAUCCUUGGUGGCCUCCGCACACAACAGGACGAUUUGGAAUUUCAUGGGAAAAAUCAUUACAAAUAACGAUUUGGAAGCUGGGCAACAAUUGCUCUUUUACAUACGUCAGCGAUCGUUUUGGUGUAGCAAUUGGUAGAUGUUAUAAAAUUUCCAAAGACUGCAGCUGAACAAAAGCAAAUAGUGAAGAAUUUUCAAUUCUGCGCUUCAAUCCAUUCCCCUUUGUUCUAGGGUGCGUCGAUGGAACACAUGUUCCAAUUUCCAAUGCGUACAAACAUGUUUUGGUCCUUAUGUUUGACUGUAAUGAUAACCCAGACAUUAUCGGGUAAACCACACAAUCAUGUUUGUUUGCAUUCAAUAGAAAAUAAGAUUACAUUUAACAAAUAUUGUAUUUCAUAAAAAAACAAAAAAAAAAACAAAGAAAUAGAUUAAGAAAAUUGUAAUCACUUUAGUAGUAGUAGAAAAAGGAAGAGAAUAAAGUAUAAUGUCACAGAAGUAA